rnacentral:rRNA from 1 species
AUUGAACGCUGGCGGCAGGCCUAACAGAUGCAAGUCGAGCGGAGCGGCGGACGGGUGAGUCAUGUCUAAGAAAAUGCCGGAUGGAGGGGGAUAACUACUGGAAAAGGUAGCUACUACAGCAUACUAUCAGAUGAGCCGAGGUCGGAUUAGCUAGUUGGUGGGGUAAAGGCCUACCAAGGCGACGCUCCGUAACUAGUCUGAGAGGAUGAUCAGGCACACUGUAACUGAGACACGGUCCAGACUCCUACGGGAGGCAGCAGUGGGGAAUAUUGGACAAUGGGCGAAAGCCUGAUCCAGCCAUGCCGCGUGUGUGAAGAAGGUCUUCGGAUUGUAAAGCACUUUAAGUUGGGAGGCGUUACCAACAGAAUAAGCACCGGCUAACUUCGUGCCAGCAGCCGCGGUAAUUC